GAUGAACGCUGGCGGCGUGCCUAAUACAUGCAAGUCGAGCGAACGGACGAGAAGCUUGCUUCUCUGAUGUUAGCGGCGGACGGGUGAGUAACACGUGGAUAACCUACCUAUAAGACUGGGAUAGCUUCGGGAAACCGGAGCUAAUACCGGAUGAUAUUUUGAACCGCAUGGUUCAAAAGUGAAAGACGGUCUUGCUGUCACUUAUAGAUGGGUCCGCGCUGCAUUAGCUAGUUGGUAAGGUAACGGCUUACCAAGGCAACGAUGCAUAGCCGACCUGAGAGGGUGAUCGGCCACACUGGAACUGAGACACGGUCCAGACUCCUACGGGAGGCAGCAGUAGGGAAUCUUCCGCAAUGGGCGAAAGCCUGACGGAGCAACGCCGCGUGAGUGAUGAAGGUCUUCGGAUCGUAAAACUCUGUUAUUAGGGAAGAACAUAUGUGUAAGUAACUGUGCACAUCUUGACGGUACCUAAUCAGAAAGCCACGGCUAACUACGUG
rnacentral:rRNA from 1 species